rnacentral:rRNA from 1 species
UGAUACACAGGUGCUGCAUGGCCGCCGUCAGCUCGUGUCGUGAGAUGUAGGGUUAAGUCCCGAAACGAGCGCAACCCUAUUCUAUGUUACAAGUGUCUUAGAAAACCGCCUCGGUAAAACGAGGAGGAAGGUGGGGAUGACGUCUGGUCCGCAUAGCCCUUAUGUCCUGGGCUACACACGCGCUACAAUGGCCGAUACAGUAGGAAGCCAAAUCGUAAGAUGGAGCUAACCCUUAAAGUCGGUCUCAGUUCGGAUUGAGGUCUGAAAUUCGACCUCAUGAAGUUGGAUUCGCUAGUAAUCGUAGAUCAGCAAUGCUACGGUGAAUACGUUCUCGGGUCUU